UUUCUCUGCAUAUUUAUUAGCAAAGAAUUUGCAGGUGAUUUUUUUUUUUUACCUAGGGUUUGAUCAAGGAACUGCAGGAGUCAUGUUGUGUAAGAUGUUACUAAACCUGCAGAUCAGGUUUUGUUUUGUGUCUGACUCAGGAGACGUUUUAAAUCAUAUACAGACUUGAAUACAGAGGAGCACCGAGCGGACAAACACAGGAAACUAAUGUUAUUCUUGCUUCAGAUUUUAUGUUGCAUUUUUUGUGUCAUGUGCAUAUCAGUGGGCAUUGAACAGGAAAUGCAAACAUGGGACAAAGAUAACCGUUUCAUUUCCAAUAAAAAAAGGUAACCAGAUUUUCUUUCUGAAUUUAGUCCAAAGUAGUGUUCGGCUACUGUUGUAUUUUAAACCUGAAGGCCCAUUCACGCAAACAAUAUAUUUCAUGUAUAUGUUUCAUGUAUAUUUAAAAUAAUAUAUGAAAGUAUAUAUGCAUAAAAAUAAUAAUGAAAAAUAAAACCGUUGUGUAUAAAUGUAGUGCAGGCUGGAACAUUACAAGAAAAAAUAUGAAUGUAAAAACUAUUGGUAUAAAAAAAAAUAAACUGUGGUCAUAGAAAUAAAAUAUAUACAGCCCCCUUCAAAAGUAUUGGAACAGAAAGACCAGUUGUUUUGUUUUUGCUAUACAUUGAAGACAUUUGUUAGAUCAGAAAUUUCAGCUUUUUUUAUUUCCUGAUAUUUACACAUAAGAUGUGUUAAAUAAUUUUGAUGAUUGCACCUUUGAUGGCAGACCACCCAAGUUUUAGGUGAGCAAAUAAUAUUAGAACAGAUAGUCUUAAAGGAAAUUUUGGAAAUUUUGGUUGCAUAU